UACAUUAGAUACCCGCGUAGUCCAGGGUGUAAACGCUGCGGGCUUGGUGUUGGGGGUCCUUUGAGGGCGCCCAGUGCUGUAGGGUAGCCGUUAAACUCGCUGCCUGGGGAGUACGGUCGCAAGGCUGAAACUUAAAGGAAUUGGCGGGGGAGCACCGCAACGGGAGGAGCGUGCGGUUCAAUUUGGAUUCAACGCCGGACAACUCACCAGGAGCGACGGUUACAUGAAGGCCAGGCUGAUGACCUUGCCUGAUUUUCCG
rnacentral:rRNA from 1 species